GACGAACGCUGGCGGCGUGCUUAACACAUGCAAGUCGAACGAGAAUCACUGGAAGGAGUUUUCGGACAACGGAAGGUGAGGACAGUGGCGGACGGGUGAGUAACGCGUGAGGAACCUGCCUUUCAGAGGGGGACAACAGUUGGAAACGACUGCUAAUACCGCAUGACACAUAGAGAUCGCAUGGUUUUUAUGUCAAAGAUUUAUCGCUGAAAGAUGGCCUCGCGUCUGAUUAGCUGGUUGGUGAGGUAACGGCCCACCAAGGCGACGAUCAGUAGCCGGACUGAGAGGUUGACCGGCCACAUUGGGACUGAGAUACGGCCCAGACUCCUACGGGAGGCAGCAGUGGGGAAUAUUGGGCAAUGGGCGCAAGCCUGACCCAGCAACGCCGCGUGAAGGAAGAAGGCUUUCGGGUUGUAAACUUCUUUUGUCGGGGACGAGUAGAAGACGGUACCUGGCGAAUAAGCCACGGCUAACUACGUGCCAGCAGCCGCGGUAAUACGUAGGUGGCAAGCGUUGUCCGGAUUUACUGGGUGUAAAGGGCGUGUAGCCGGGAAGGCAAGUCAGAUGUGAAAUCCACGGGCUUAACUCGUGAACUGCAUUUGAAACUACUUUUCUUGAGUAUCGGAGAGGCAAUCGGAAUUCCUAGUGUAGCGGUGAAAUGCGUAGAUAUUAGGAGGAACACCAGUGGCGAAGGCGGAUUGCUGGACGACAACUGACGGUGAGGCGCGAAAGCGUGGGGA
rnacentral:rRNA from 1 species